AUCACGUGACUUGGGCCAGUUUGAAACACGUUUCAAACCACUGAUUAGAAACAAAAGAUUCUUAAAGGUUUUGAAGCUUAUAAAGCAGUGCUUCGAAAAUGACCAUCACUAAUGUAAAUCUCUCGUUUUAAAGCGCUUAACCAUAACUUUUGUUGUGAUGACGUGCACGUCCUCACUUCGACACGCCCAUUACGGCAUUGUUUCUGCUUCUUGUUCACACUGAGGGUUUCUUUUCCGUGUAUCUUACUAAUUCCUCUUUUCGGCAACGAUCCUAGAAGAUUUACGAUACGUGUUUGCCUUCACUCAGAAGCUUGUCUGGCAAUUUUACGGGGACGAGUUGUCUGAAUGCCUGGAAAAUGGCAAAGCCUUUCCUGUGACAGCUGGCGACGAAGAUAAAGUCAGUUUCUUUCGCCGUGUAUUUUCGAGCAGGAUUUCAAAUUUUCUCAGUGGAUUUCCGCAUGAAUCACUGGAGAGCCACGACAGGUAACAUGAUGAGAGCACAGAAAAGGCCAUGGUGAGGUAUAGUUAGGUGGUCCGAGCUAAUAGUGAUGGUUUUAUGACGCUCAGGCACCAACUCCGAAGUAUCGGGACAAUCAGCUCCUUAGCAACCGAUCGCUACCAAUCCUAAUGAGCUGUUCUCUAUGAGAAGCACAUAAUUGACGGUCCUUUUUUUCAAGUCUUCAGGAUGCUUUGCUGGCACACAUGGAAUUCAAUUUGUAAUGCAGAGGUAUUAAUAAGACCCCAAGCUGUUAUGAGGAGAGGAGGUCUGACCCCACUGUCUGCAAGAGAGCCUUACAGUUGCGAUAUAUUGAGUCACAAUCACGGCCAGAAUCUCACCAGCAUGAUAAACAGGACGUCGGGAAUGACAUCUCUGCGGUCUGACGCUGGCAUAUCUAAUUAACAACAUAAAGGAGAAAGAAAUAAAGUGGCAUUGACGACCAGGCUCUUACCAGAUAAAAACUCAUUUUCAUUAGGCGUAGAGUGACAUGCAAUCUGGGAACGGCUCGUGUGAAAGUUCACAGAUAGGAGCUUCGUUUCAUCCUGGUUUUCAUCUCUGGAAUUUCUCCAUCGCUUUUCUGCCCAUUUGCAGCCCAUCAACGCUCCCUCGUGAGACUUUAUUAAAGACGAUUCGAGAGUAUCACACGUAUUAUUAUCUGCCUUGUAAUUACAGAGGCCGCUUCUCAAAGGCUCAAAAGAUUCAGCACAACAUUCGCCUGAUUUCUAGUGAUAAAAAUCGUUUAGACUAAAUAAAGUCUGUGUCAUUUUGUGUACGCUUCUCUUUUAUUAAAACCUCUAACCUGCU